CACGCAGCAGACGACGCGGGACGACCUUCGUCUGCGGGAGCACCCACGACCUGCGCUAUGGCUUGGCUUGGUAGGGGCAAUGGCAUCCUGUGAAAUGAGACGUUAGCUCCUAGAUUGGUAGUGGAGUAUGUAGGGUAGUCAAGCAGAGGACGAGUGUGGCAGCUGAGCCCACUAAGGCUGGAGAUGAUGUGACGCGGCCUCGUAAUGAAGCCAAGAAUCUAUGCUACUGUGAUAACCCAGGAUCUGAAGAUGAAGUGUAGUGAUAGAGAGAAAUAGAUCAUGUUAAGAAAACAAUUCCUUUUAUUUUAUUGUCUAGAAAUUGUGCUGUAGUUCUACUUGAAGAGUUCAAUAUGAAUGCAUAAUAGAUAGAAUUAAAAAGUAUGAGUA